rnacentral:rRNA from 1 species
GACGUAGGGGGCGAGCGUUGUCCGGAUUUAUUGGGCGUAAAGAGCUCGUAGGCGGUGUGUCGCGUCGGCCGUGAAAACCUGCAGCUUAACUGUGGGCUUGCGGUCGAUACGGGCAUCACUGGAGUUCGGCAGGGGAGACUGGAAUUCCUGGUGUAGCGGUGAAAUGCGCAGAUAUCAGGAGGAACACCAAUGGCGAAGGCAGCACUCUGGGACGUGACUGACGCUGAGACGCGAAAGCGUGGGGAGCAAACAGG